rnacentral:lncRNA from 1 species
GUCAAGAUGGGCGGUCAACGACUUGCCGGAUGGAUCAAAGCUGACCGAUCGGACUCUGUAACCAUAUCCCACUGGGUCUUCUUCAUUCUUUGCGUUUGAGAAACAGAGAACGGAGAAACUGCAGCAGAAGAGAAAUGCUAAAAGAAGGUGAUGAAGGUGAAGUGGAGGUUGUGGCCUCUUCUUCCCCAUUAUUCUGUAAAUUGGAAACCAAGACUCCUCUCUUUUAUCUUUACAUCAAAACCAAGGACCUUUCGCUUCCACACAAAGUGUUUUUACACCAAGAAAAAUUAUUAGUAUAUGUGUCUUGCCGUGCACUAGCUCAACAAAAAGUCAACCUCAACCCAUUUGUACCUUAUCCAAAUACCAAUGACGCUCUUAUGCAUACUAUAAUCAUGUUUACGGUAAGAAAAGAAAAGGGUUAUGCUAGGCUACCGAAACAUACUUUCUGGUACCAUACCCCCAAUUUUGCACCAAUAACAUCUUGCCACAUGUGGGUUGUUGAAUAAAAAAUAAAAAAACUUGCUAUACAAGUUACAAACCGGUCAACUCCUGUCCCAAUAAAAAAUAAUUCAAAGACAACACAAAAAUUUAAACUCUUUACGACAUCCAACUAUAAAAUCUGAGUAUUUAUUUUAUAAAAAUUUAAAAAUAUUAAAUAAUUUGUGAAAAUAUAAAUUUUUUAAAAGAAAAGAAAUUAUAAUUUAUUUUAUUUUUUAAUAUAAAGUGAUAAAUCAUAGAGUGAAGAAAAAUAAAUAAACUAAAUAUUGUAAAAAAAAUCAUUCAAUGACAUAAUUUAUAAAUUGAGAGUCAAUGAAUUUAUUUUAUUUUAAAUUGAAAUUAUUUGUGGAAAAAAAUUGGAUGAAUAUUGAAAAUGCAAAAAAAAAAAAAUAUAAUUGGUCAAUGAAGUUAAAAAAAUAAAUAAUUUCAAUGAAUUAUAAGUCUAAUUAGAUAUUUAUAAAAAAUAAAAAAUUGAAAUAAAUUUAAAUAAGUAUAUAUUGUUCAAACACUAAAUUAGUUAUGUACUUGACAAUUGCAUUAAUAAAAUAAUUAUUUUAAUUUAAAUUUAAUUGUGUAAAAUAUUGGUUGAAAUAUUGAAAAUACAAAAAAAAAUAAUAAUUAGUAACAAUAUAGAACUUCACAUCUCUCACUAAUUUUUUAGUCAUUUAGAAGAGAAUUGAGAAUCUUCUCAUUCUUCUUACCCUUUCUAAUUAUUAAAUAUUUUUAAAGUUUUAUUUUUCUGGGCAUCAUUUGAACACCUCUUAAGUAUAAUGAACACAUUUAAACAAAAUCAAAAUCAUAUGAAGUCUCAAAAAUUUUUUAAAGCAACAAAGAAGUGGAGAAUGGAGAGGGUACGAAGAAUGUGAAGAUUCCUCACAUUCUUCGUACCCUUCCUAAUUUUUAAAUAUUUUUGAAGUAUGAUUUUUUCGGGCAUCAUUUGAACACCCUUAAGUGUAAUUGACUCAUUUAAACAAUAUCCAAGCCAUAUGAAGUCCCAAAAUUAUUUUAAAAUUUCAAAAAAAUGGAGAAUGUGGAGGGUACGAAAAAUGUGAGGCCUUACUAAUUUUUAAGUAUUUUUAAAGUAUGAUUUUUCUGAGCAUCAUUUGAACACAUCUUAAGUAUAAUGAACUCAUUUAAACAAUAGUCAAGCCAUAUGAAAUCCCAAAAAAUUUUUAAAGCAUCAAAGAAGUGGAGAAUGAUGAGGGUAUAAAGAAUGUGAGGAUUCCUCACUUUUUUCGCACCCUUCCUAAUUUUUAAAUAUUUUUUAAUUAUGAUUUUUCCGGCCAUCAUUUAUACACCCCUUAAAUGUAAUGGACUCAUUUAAACAAUAUCCAAGUCAUAUAAAGUCUCAAAAUUAUUUUAAAAUUUGAAAGAAAUGGAGAAUAGGGAAGGUACAAAGGAUGUGAGGAUUCCUCACAUUUUUUGUACCUUUUCUAAUUUUUAAGUGUGAUUUUUCCAGGCAUCAUUUGAACACCCUUAAGUGUAAUGAACUCAUUUAAACAAUAUCAAAGUCAUAUGAAGUCCCAAAAUUUUUUUAAAGUAUCAAAGAAGUGGAGAAUGAGGAUGGUACGAAGAAUGUGAGGAUUCCUCACAUUUUUCGUACCCUUUCCAAUUUUUAAGUAUUUUUGAAGUAUGAUUUUUUCGAGCAUCAUUUGAACACCCCUUAAGUGUAAUGGACUCAUUUAAACAAUAUCCAAGUCAUAUGAAGUCCCAAAAUUAUUUUAAAAUUUCAAAGAAAUGGAGAAUGUGAGGGUAUGAAGAAUAUGAGGAUUCCUCAUAUUUUUUGUACCCUUCCUAAUUUUUAAGUAUUUUUGAAGUAUGAUUUUUUCGGACAUCAUUUGAACACCCUUUUAGUGUAAUGAAUUCAUUUAAACAAUAUCCAAGUUAUAUGAAGUCCCAAAAUUUUUUAAGUAUUUUUGAAGUAUGAUUUUUCCACACAUCAUUUGAACACCCUUUAAGUGUAAUGGACUCAUUUAAACAAUAUCCAAGUCAUAUGAAGUCCAAAAUUAUUUUAAAAUUUCAAAGAAAUGGAAAAUGGGGAGGGUACGAAGAAUACCAGGAUUCCUCACAUUUUUCGUACCCUUUCUAAUUUUGAAGUAUGAUUUUUCCACGCAUCAUUUGAACACCCCUUAAAUGUAAUGGACUCAUCUAAACAAUAUCUAAGUCAUACGAAGUCCUGAAAUUAUUUUAAAAUUUAAAAGAAAUGGAGAAUGGGAAAGGUACGAAGAAUGUGAGGAUUCCUCACAUUUUUCGUACCCUUUCUAAUUUUGAAGUAUUUUUUAAGUAUGAUUUUUCCGAGCAUCAUUUGAACAUCACUUAAGUGCAAUGGACUCAUUUAAACAAUAUCCAAGUCAUACGAAGUCCUGAAAUUAUUUUAAAAUUUAAAAGAAAUGGAGAAUGGGGAGGGUACGAAAAAUGUGAGGAUUACCCUUCCUAAUUUUUAAGUAUUUUUGAAGUAUGAUUUUUUCAGGCAUCAUUUGAACACCUCUUUAGUGUAAUGAACUCAUUUAAACAAUAUCCAAGUUAUAUGAAGUCCCAAAAAAAUUUUAAAGCAUGAAAGAAGUGGAGAACGAGGAGGGUAUGAUGAAUAUGAGGAUUCCUCACAUUUUUAGUACUCUUCCUAAUUUUGAAGUAUGAUUUUUCCGCGCAUCAUUUGAACACCCCUUAAGUGUAAUGGACUCAUUUAAACAAUAUCCAUGUCAUAUGAAGUCCCAAAAUUAUUUUACAAUUUCAAAGAAAUGGAAAAUGGGGAGGGUACAAAGAAUAUGAGGAUUCCUCACAUUUUUCGUACCCUUUCUAAUUUUGAAGUAUGAUUUUUCCGCACAUCAUUUGAACACCCCUUAAAUGUAAUGGACUUAUUUAAACAAUAUCCAAGUCAUACAAAGUCCUGAAAUUAUUUUAAAAUUUAAAAGAAAUGGAGAAUGGGAAAGGUACGAAGAAUGUGAGGAUUCCUCACAUUUUUCGUACUCUUUCUAAUUUUGAAGUAUUUUUUAAGUAUGAUUUUUUCGAGCAUCAUUUGAACACCCCUUAAGUGAAAUGGACUUAUUUAAACAAUAUCCAAGUCAUACGAAGUCCUGAAAUUAUUUUAAAAUUUAAAAGAAAUGGAGAAUGGGGAGGGUACAAAGAAUGUGAGGAUUCCUCACAUUUUUCGUACCCUUUCUAAUUUUUAAGUAUUUUUUAAGUAUGAUUUUUUCGGGCAUCAUUUGAACACCCCUUAAGUGUAAUGAACUCAUUUAAACAAUAUCAAAGUCAUAUGAAGUCCCAAAAAAAAUUUUAAAGCAACAAAGAAGUGAAGAAUGGGAAGGGUACGAAGAAUGUGAGGAUUCCUCACAUUCUUUGUACAUUUUCUAAUUUUUAAGUAUUUUUUAAGUUUGAUUUUUCCUGGCAUCAUUUGAACACCCCUUAAGUUUAAUGAACUCAUUUAAACAAUAUACAAACCAUAUGAAGUCCCAAAAUUAUUUUAAAAUUUCAAAGAAAUGGAGAAUGGGGAGGAGGGUAUGAAGAAUGUGAGGAUUCCUCACAUUUUUCGUACCCUUCCUAAUUUUUAAGCAUUUUUGAAGUAUGAUUUUUUCGAGCAUCAUUUGAACACUCCUCAAGUGUAAUGAACUCAUUUAAACAAUAUCCAAGUCAUAUAAAGUCCCAAAAAAAUUUUAAAGCAUCAAAGAAGUGGAGAAUGAGGAGGGUACGAAGAAUGUGAGAAUUCCUCACAUUUUUCGUACCCUUCCUAAUUUUUAAAUAUUUUUGAAGUAUGAUUUUUCCGGGCAUCAUUUGAACACCCUUAAAUGUAAUGGACUCAUUUAAACAAUAUUCAAGUCAUAUGAAGUCCCAAAAUUAUUUUAAAAUUUCAAAGAAUGUGAGGAUUCCUCACAUUUUUCGUAUUCUUCCUAAUUUUUAAGUAUUUUUGAAGUAUGAUUUUUUCCACUAAUUCGGACAUCAUUUGAACAACCCUUUAGUGUAAUGAACUUAUUUAAACAAUAUCCAAGCUAUAUGAAGUCCCAAAAAUUUUUUAAGCAUCAAAAAAGUGGAAAACGAGGAGGGUGUGAUGAAUGUGAGGAUUCCUCACAUUUUUCGUACCCUUCCUAAUUUUUAAGUAUUUUUUAAGUAUGAUUUUUUCAGACAUCAUUUGAACACCCCUUAAAUGUAAUAAAUUUAUUUAAACAAUAUUCAAACCAUAAGAAGUCCUAAAUUUUUUUUAAAGCAUCAAGGAAGUGGAGAUAGGGAGGGAAUGAGGGUAUGAAGAAUGUGAGGAUUCCUCGCAUUCUUCGUACAUUUUCUAAUUUUUAAGUAUUUUUUAAGUUUGAUUUUUCUAGGCAUCAUCCAAACACCCCUUAAGUGUAAUGAACCCAUUUAAACAAUAUUGAAGUCAUAUGAAGUCCCAAAAAAUGUGAGGAUGCCUCACAUUUUUCGUACCCUUCCUAAUUUUUAAGUAUUUUUGAAGUAUGAUUUUUUCGGACAUCAUUUGAACACCUCUUAAGUGUAAUGGACUCAUUUAAACAAUAUCCAAGCCAUACGAAGUCCCAAAAUUAUUUUAAAAUUAAAUAGAAAUAGAGAAUGGGGAUGGUACGAAGAAUGUGAGGAUUCCUCACAUUCUUCGUACCCUUUCUAAUUUUGAAGUAUUUUUGAAGUUAACAAAAGAAACUAAUUUUUCAUAUAUUAAAACAAUUAUAUAUAACAAAAUACCCCCUUCCCAUGGGUCAGAUUUACCUAAGUUUCAAGUGCACAUACAUAAUUUAGUUCUUAUCUUCUUUCAUAUACAACAUCAAAACCCUCUAAAAUAGUAGGACAAAAUAACAAACUUCUUAAAUUUCAAACCAAAAGAGAGAGCUUCAAGCUCUAGGAAGCCUACCCUCACUUUCUUCAAUUUGAGCACCUUUAUUAGAAUCUGAAAAUUGUUUAUAAAAAGUGAUGAGCUUUAUAGCCCAAUAGAGGAUAUGUAAUUCUAUGUAAGAAUUAGGCUUAUUUUUUAGUUAGAAAAUCAGUGAAUAGAAAUACCAACUCAACAAUGAUAUAUUCAACAUAAUAAAGUAUCAUUUAAACCAAGAACUUAAAUUAAUUGUUCAAUUUCAUCAACCUUACCGUGUACUUCUUUGAUCAUUUGAGUCUUUUUUAUUACUUAAAACUUAUAAUUUUGGGGCAUUCACCUAAGGACAUGCAUUUAUGCCCCAAUUUAAUCUAAACCAAGUUCUUCUUAUAGUAUGUUUUGGGUCUUUCAAUUUAGGUAAUUUACCAUUCGUUCCAAGGCUUUUACCAGGGACCAUUGCUCCUACUUAAUUCCAUAAGACCACACUCAUUGGUGUAUUUUCAUAAUUUUCAGCUCCUUAAGUGCCAAUUGCCAUGUUGCUCUUGAUGCACUUCAAAAUUCAUAUAUUCAAUCAAAGAAAGCAUUACAUCUUUAAUCAUCCUUAUCAAGCCAAGAGCAACAACUUCUAAUUAACACAAAAUGCAUUGUUCAUCAUUUCUCGAUUCAUAUAAUCUUCAUAGCUCAACAUACAGAUACAUACAUACAUAUAUAUAUAUAUAUAUAUAUAUAUAUAUAUAUAUAUUUGGAAAGAUUUAGAAUGAAAGAAAAAAACUGUUGUUCAAGAAAAGAAUAAAACAAAGAUUACUUGGAUUUUCUAGCCUAUUCCCUUUAGAGCCUUGGUAGAUCUCUCAAAGGCUAGGGACCCUUCAAUCGGUAUUCAUAGUACUGAAACCAUUCUCUUUCAUCAAGUGAAUGAAUACAAAAAGAUUUGUAGCUCUUGUAAUCCCUCUAUUAAUACUUUUAGGCGGUGUUUGGUACACGGGAAUAGGAAAUGGAAAUGAAUAUUUUGUUUCCAUUCCUAUUUUUUGAUGAAUGGAAAUGAAUUUGUUCAUUCCAUUUCUAGUGUUUGGAUGAAUCUAUAAAUUCAAAAUUUGAAUGAUUAUUUGUUUCCAUUAUAAUGUUUUGUAAUAAUAGGAACGAAAAUGAAAAAAAAAAAAUGAUAAUAAUACUUUUACAUAGUUUAAAAUAAUUUUUUUCUCAUUUAAAAAAAAAAUUGAGAGUUUUUUUUCACUAAAUAAUAAGAUUAAAAAAAAUAGUCUUAUUAUGGGAUGAAGAGACACUGAAAGUUGAUAAAUGAAAUCCAAAGGUAAAAUAGUAAUUUAAGACUAUUUUAUAUUUUCUUAUUGGAUGAAUGAAUCAGAAUAUCACUUAUCUGAGAUGAAUUGAAAUCCUACUUAUAAGUGAGAUUGAUUUAUGCCGGAAUCAUGUUUUAUUUUAUUCCUACCUUCAUAAAAUCUAUCCAAACAUGAGAAUGGGGAGGCAAGGAAUGAGAUGUCUAUUCUCACUUCUCAUUCACACUUAUCAAACACCCCUUUAGUUCAAUGAGCAGUUACUAUUAAUACUUUUAGCUCUUGUAGCUCUUCUUGUUUUACUCUCUUUCAUUCAUUGUGUAUAUAUGCACUCAAAUAUAUAAGAAGGUUCUAUCUCCCUGCAUAACUUUCAGAUAUAAGUUCAGGUGUUGCUGUUUUUAAAAACUUACAAGGAAUAUAGCAAACAAUGAACAACUUAUGAAGGGAAUUUCAGAUCUAUUGUUGUAAUCUCAAAAUCGUUAUUUAUUGAUAUCAUUUUGCAGACAAUAGCUUACUGAUAAUAAUUGUUCUUAGCAGAACUCUUUCCUUAUUAAGUGAGGUUUAGCUUUAAUUCAAACUCCUUUCCGAUUGGGAGACAGUUUUUUAAUCUCCAUGACAACAAAUUUUCUGUUGCCAUCCAAAUCUACUUUCAACGAAGAGUCUCCAAUUGUUUUUGUUCCCUCAUUUGUGUAUACCUCGAAUCCUUUAAACCUCUUGCCCUGGGCCUUGGUCAACCCGAUCAAAGUCACCCUAUCUAUGAUCCAUUUCUGACUUAGAGCAAAGCCUCUAUUCAUCACCUCUGAUCCAACAAUCGCCUUCUUAUCUUCCACCCAGGCAUAGAACUUCACCAGGCUCCAGUUUUUUCCUCCCCCGCCCAUCUCAACUUCUUCGCCAUCAUCCAAGAAAACUUCACCAGUGCUGAUUCCACUGCUGCUCAAAACCACCAAGAGCUGGAAUGGAGUCUUCCGAGCCGCUUUUGUAGUCAUGGCUUCUCCCUGCAUUACCAAUAUAUUCCCUUCUCUAACAUGAACAUUUAUAUGAUCUGGUGGUGCAUCGAGAGUGGUAUACUUCCCUGAACCUGCACUCACUGCAUUGGAGUAAUUGAAGAGGUCGAACCAGUUUCCUGAUGGGAAGUAUGCUUUGACUGAAACUUCUCCAGGCUUCAGCACUGGUGACACCAUUACACCUUUACCGAUCAAAAACUGAAAGUUGAUUCCAUAAGUUUCGGGGUCCUGAGGGAAUGAAAAGAAAAGGGGUCGGGCAAUGGGGACUCCUUUUGUGUGGGCUUCGUACAUUAACGUGUAAAAGUAGGGAAGCAGGCGGUAGCGGAGCCCCAGCACCUUCUUGGCUGUUGCAGCAACUGAGUCCCACACGUAAAGCUCCUGGCGAAUUGUGAACUUUGCUGAGUGGUCCCUUGCAAAGGGGUAGAACGCCCCUAACUGCAAUGUCACAAAAUCCAAUUAUUAGUUGCAUACACGAAAGAAAAGAUGGAAUGCACGCCAAGCCAGAGGAAUUUGAGCACUCCUAGAAAAUGGAAUUGUUCAAGCUUGUUUUCCACAAAUUCAACCUUGGGAUAGAUGCUAUGUCCAAAAUGUUGAAUGAUUUAUCUACCAUUUGAUGAAUGAAAGCUACCUAAAGUUUACCUGGAUCCAUCGCCUGCAGAGCUCUUCAUUUGUGUCGCCGGAAAAACCACAUAUGUCCGCUCCAACCAUUGGAAUUCCGAAUAGCCCAAAAUUUAAAACUGCUGGGAUGGAGUAAGCCAAAUCAUCCCAUGUGGCAGCAUUGUCUCCAGUCCAAUGGGCAGCAUACUUUCCAGAGCCCACAAAAGUUGAUCUGGUCAGUAUAAAUGGUCUUUUACCCGUCAAUUUGGUUAAGGCCGCAUUGGUGGCUUUGGAUUCUAAGAUUCCAUAAAGGUUGUGAGCGUUGUACUCUGUAAUGUUACCAAAGUGUAGAGAUGUGGCUGGAACAGUUCUAUUAUUAAUGGGCCUACGAACACCUGCAUUGUUAAUCUUGUAGGGAGGGUCGUCAAGGGUGGACAAUGGGGUGGGUGGUGAGGUAAUGAAAUUAGAUAUCUCAUUCAUGUCAAGCCAAAGGCCGUCAAUGGGAAGACUAUCUCGAAAUAUUUUGAUCUCACCACCCCAAAAGAUCUCAGUGGCUGGAUUAACAAAAUCAGGGAAGUAGACUGGCCCCGGCCAAACACUACCCAGGUAGGGGAUACCAUCACGUUUUAUGAAGAUAUCAGCUUCCAUCCCUCUUUUGUAGGUUCGAUAUGUCUGGUUGACGCUGAUACCUGUGGAUCAUUAGGAGCUAGCUAAGUUUUCUCUUCUAAUAAAUCAAGAUAAAGUUUCAGCCCAGAGCCAAAGAUUUACCAGGAUCCAAAAUGAGCACAUAUUUCUGACCAUUUUGGUGAAGUGUAUCAACCAAUUUCUUGAUCUUAUCCAAAGGAAAGUUGAUGGGAUCAAGAGUAAAAUCCUUAUAUGCAUCCAUAUAAUCGAUAUCUGUCCACAUAACUUCGAGAGGGAUACCAGCUUUGGCAUAACCAGCAACCACGCCCUCAACAUCAGAAACGUUCGUGUACCCAUAUCUGCACUGGUGAAAUCCUGCAGCCAAGACAAGCAACUAAUUUUGCGAGCCUAAAACGAAUGUCUAUAUCUUGGUAGCAACAAUGGAGUUCAAUUAAUGGUCCAUCUUUAAAGCAUUUUCCCGUACAGUUGUAGUACAUGGCAUGGUAGAGGGAUACUUCAGCGGUAGUGGGAAUGCCAUGCGUAUUUGCUGCCAUUGAUUUCACGUGGACUAAAGUAUCCUGAGAAUAAUGAAUAAUGACGUGGUGAUGUGUAAGCUGGCUGAAUACGGCCAUCGUGAUUGGUGCCAAGUGGUGGAGGAGGAUAUGAUGUCAGGGAUGAUGUGAGCUACAGGUGGAGGUGAACACCCAGUAGACAAAUCCAAGAUUGAUAUAAGACAAAAAGAGUCGACACAAUUGAAGCCAGCACCUAACAAUUACCCUUAAAGGACGUAAAAGUUUAGUACUUAAUGUAAUUUCUAAAGAAGUUGCUAACUUCAAAAUAGGAGAGGUAAUAAAGUAUCAAAUUGAAAUAUUUUUCCAAUGAUAUAACUUACCAAACGACCAAUAUGGCAUUGGUGCCGGGUGGCCUAUGAGCUCUGUAUACUGCUGCACCACCAUCUCCGGCGUCGGUCCGGAGAAGAAGUAAAAAUCGAGAACUCCUCCAAUUGCUUUGUAGGUUAUUCGAUCACCAGUGUACACGAUGUCCAUGCCAUUACUGUUCAGCAGCAGAACACCGUGCGUCGUCCCCAUCGGAACCUUGCCGCGGUUGUCCGUCAGCCUGACGUCCAUGUAGAAGGGGUGGGACCUGUAACGGCCCGCACCCAACCGUGUAGAUAUUGUCCGCUUUGGGCCCAAGGGGACUCUCACGGCUUUAAAACGCGUCUACUUGGUUAAGAGGAGCCUCUACAUAUAUAGCGCCAGGAACUUCCUCCCCUAUCCGAUGUGGGACAUCACAAAUACCCCCCCAUGCAGACACAACGUCCUCGUUGUGUCCCAUGGGAUUGCGGGGCCAAACAGACAAAGCCAAACAAACCCCCACACCGGGGUCGGGGAUCGGCUCUGAUACCAUUUGUAACGGCCCGCACCCAACCGUGUAGAUAUUGUCCGCUUUGGGCCCAAGGGGACCCUCACGGCUUUAAAACGCGUCUACUUGGUUAAGAGGAGCCUCUACAUAUAUAGCGCCAGGAACUUCCUCCCCUAUCCGAUGUGGGACAUCAAAAANNNNNNNNNNNNNNNNNNNNNNNNNNNNNNNNNNNNNNNNNNNNNNNNNNNNNNNNNNNNNNNNNNNNNNNNNNNNNNNNNNNNNNNNNNNNNNNNNNNNGGCCCAAAGCGGACAAUAUCUACAGGGGGGGGGGUGGGCAGUUACAAAAGGUAUCUGCGCAGAUCCCCGACCCCGGUGAGAGGGUUCGUGGUGCUUUGUGAGUUUGACCCCGUAAUCCCAUGGGACUCAACGAGGGCGUUGUGUCUGCAAGGGGGGGUGUUUGUGAUGUCCCACAUCGGAUAGGGGAGGAAGUUCCUGGCGCUAUAUAUGUAGAGGCUCCUCUUAACCAAGUAGACGCGUUUUAAAGCCGUGAGGGUCCCCUUGGGCCCAAAGCGGACAAUAUCUACACGGUUGGGUGCGGGCCGUUACAGGACCCAUACAGAUUCACAUCAAGGUUGGAGCUGUGGAUGUCGGUGUUCCAAAGCGUCAGCGUUUGGUUUUGGGCGAGCUUGAAAGUCUUCUUGGUGUGCUCUCCUAGGCCAUAAAGGGAGGAGCGGAGGAUGGGGAGGGCGGAGGAGACCUGGAGGUACUGGUCCUUGAAUACCAGGAAGGUGCCAGCCUCUGAAGCGUCGGAUGAGGCGUCAAAGAGGAUGUCGCCGGUAGAGCGACGGCUGACGAUAAAGCCGAAUGGAGUGGUUCUGCGGAGCGUGAAGACGAGGUCUGACUUGGGGUCGCAUACUAUGUUGUUUUCCGGCGAGUUGUGGUCGUCUUCCGGCGAGAUGGAGUGGUUUUGCGGGAGCACUCGGAGGUGGAGUUGGGUGUAACGGGGAAGGAUUUCUCGGGGGAUUUCCCAUCUUUGGUGCUCGGAAUCGGUGAUUCGAAUUCGGAGACGAUCAUUCGUUUCCAAGCUGCAGAAAUUCAUAAAAAUAAAUAAAUAAAUAAAAAGAAGAAGGAUGCGUCAGUAAUAAAUUAAUCUAACAUUAUAGAAUAACUUAAAAAAAAAAAAAGGCUAAAAAACCAUAUUUUAAAAUUUAUAUAUAUAAAGACUCGUUACCUGGCAACAAGAAUGAGAUUUCGAACGUCGGGGCCGAAAACGGGGGAAGGUUUGAUGAGGUCAAGAUGGGCAGUCAACGAGUUGCCGGAUGGAUCAAAGCUGACCGAUCGGACUCUGUAACCAUAUCCCACUAGGUCUUCUUCAUUCUUUGCGUUUGAGAAACUGCAGCAGAAGAGAAAUGCUAAAAGAAGGUGAUGAAAGUGAAGUGGAGGUUGUGGCCUCUUCCUCCCCAUUAUUCUGUAAAUUGGAAACCAAGACUCCCCUCUUGUAUCUAAGGACCACUUCGUUUCUACACACAGAAAUCAAGUUCGUUUUUACCACUAGGAAAAAUUAUUAGUAUACCGCGCAGGAGCUCAACUUACAGUUAACCUCAAUCCAUUCGUACCUUAUCUCUGGAUACUAUAAUCAUUUUUACGGAAAGAAAAGAAAAUGUUGUGAAUUUUUUGUUUUUUAUUGAUGUUUCGAUAGUAUAGAAAAGAUUCUUUAUCAUAAAUAAUUUUUCCGGUGUUAACCCUAACACGACCAUUACAUGUCGCAUCCAACUC